AGAAUGAACGCUGGCGGCAUGCCUAACACAUGCAAGUCGAACGAGACCUUCGGGUCUAGUGGCGCACGGGUGCGUAACGCGUGGGAAUCUGCCCUUGGGUUCGGAAUAACAGUGAGAAAUUACUGCUAAUACCGAAUGAUGUCGAAAGACCAAAGAUUUAUCGCCCAGGGAUGAGCCCGCGUAGGAUUAGCUAGUUGGUGAGGUAAAGGCUCACCAAGGCGACGAUCCUUAGCUGGUCUGAGAGGAUGAUCAGCCACACUGGGACUGAGACACGGCCCAGACUCCUACGGGAGGCAGCAGUGGGGAAUAUUGGACAAUGGGCGAAAGCCUGAUCCAGCAAUGCCGCGUGAGUGAUGAAGGCCUUAGGGUUGUAAAGCUCUUUACCCGGGAUGAUAAUGACAGUACCGGGAGAAUAAGCUCCGGCUAACUCCGUGCCAGCAGCCGC
rnacentral:rRNA from 1 species